GCGGGUGUAGUUUAGUGGAAAAACUACAGCCUUCCAAGCUGUUGUCGCGAGUUCGAUUCUCGUCACCCGCU
rnacentral:tRNA from 2 species